AUUAUUGGGCGUAAGCGAGCGCAGGCGGUCUUUUAAGUCUAAUGUGAAAGCCUUCGGCUCAACCGAAGAAGUGCAUUGGAAACUGGGAGACUUGAGUGCAGAAGAGGACAGUGGAACUCCAUGUGUAGCGGUGAAAUGCGUAGAUAUAUGGAAGAACACCAGUGGCGAAGGCGGCUGUCUGGUCUGCAACUGACGCUGAGGCUCGAAAGCAUGGGUAGCGAACAGGAUUAGAUACCCUGGUAGUCCAUGCCGUAAACGAUGAUUACUAAGUGUUGGAGGGUUUCCGCCCUUCAGUGCUGCAGCUAACGCAUUAAGUAAUCCGCCUGGGGAGUACGACCGCAAGGUUGAAACUCAAAAGAAUUGACGGGGGCCCGCACAAGCGGUGGAGCAUGUGGUUUAAUUCGAAGCUACGCGAAGAACCUUACCAGGUCUUGACAUCUUCUGACAGUCUAAGAGAUUAGAGGUUCCCUUCGGGGACAGAAUGACAGGUGGUGCAUGGUUGUCGUCAGCUCGUGUCGUGAGAUGUUGGGUUAAGUCCCGCAACGAGCGCAACCCUUAUUACUAGUUGCCAGCAUUAAGUUGGGCACUCUAGUGAGACUGCCGGUGACAAACCGGAGGAAGGUGGGGACGACGUCAAAUCAUCAUGCCCCUUAUGACCUGGGCUACACACGUGCUACAAUGGAUGGUACAACGAGUCGCGAGACCGCGAGGUUAAGCUAAUCUCUUAAAACCAUUCUCAGUUCGGACUGUAGGCUGCAACUCGCCUACACGAAGUCGGAAUCGCUAGUAAUCGCGGAUCAGCAUGCCGCGGUGAAUACGUUCCCGGGCCUUGUACACACCG
rnacentral:rRNA from 1 species